rnacentral:rRNA from 1 species
CCUACGGGAGGCAGCAGUGAGGAAUAUUGGUCCAUGGCCGAGAGGCUGAACCAGCCAAGUCGCGUGAGGGAAGACGGCCCUACGGGUUGUAAACUUCUUUUAUAUGGGAAUAAAAUGUUCCCCGUGUGGGAUUUUGUAUGUACCAUAUGAAUAAGGAUCGGCUAACUCCGUGCCAGCAGCCGCGGUAAUACGGAGGAUCCGAGCGUUAUCCGGAUUUAUUGGGUUUAAAGGGAGCGUAGGUGGAUUGUUAAGUCAGUUGUGAAAGUUUGCGGCUCAACCGUAAAAUUGCAGUUGAAACUGGCAGUCUUGAGUACAGUAGAGGUGGGCGGAAUUCGUGGUGUAGCGGUGAAAUGCUUAGAUAUCACGAAGAACUCCGAUUGCGAAGGCAGCAUACCGGCGCGCAACUGACGCUCAUGCACGAAAGCGUGGGUAUCGAACAGGAUUAGAUACCCCUGUAGUC